AGGAUGAACGCUAGCUACAGGCUUAACACAUGCAAGUCGAGGGGCAGCAUGGUCUUAGCUUGCUAAGGCCGAUGGCGACCGGCGCACGGGUGAGUAACGCGUAUCCAACCUGCCUUACACUCUUGGACAGCCUUCUGGAAGGGAGAUUAAUACAAGAUGUUAUCAUGAGUAAGCAUUUUCGCAUGAUUAAAGGUUUACCGGUGUAAGAUGGGGAUGCGUUCCAUUAGAUAGUAGGCGGGGUAACGGCCCACCUAGUCUUCGAUGGAUAGGGGUUCUGAGAGGAAGGUCCCCCACAUUGGAACUGAGACACGGUCCAAACUCCUACGGGAGGCAGCAGUGAGGAAUAUUGGUCAAUGGACGAGAGUCUGAACCAGCCAAGUAGCGUGAAGGAUGAAGGUUCUAUGGAUUGUAAACUUCUUUUAUACGGGAAUAAACGAAUCCACGCGUGGAUUUUUGCAUGUACCGUAUGAAUAAGGAUCGGCUAACUCCGUGCCAGCAGCCGCGGUAAUACGGAGGAUCCGAGCGUUAUCCGGAUUUAUUGGGUUUAAAGGGAGCGUAGAUGGGUUGUUAAGUCAGUUGUGAAAGUUUGCGGCUCAACCGUAAAAUUGCAAUUGAUACUGGCAGUCUUGAGUACAGUUGAGGUAGGCGGAAUUCGUGGUGUAGCGGUGAAAUGCUUAGAUAUCACGAAGAACUCCGAUUGCGAAGGCAGCUUACUAACCUGUAACUGACAUUGAUGCUCGAAAGUGUGGGUAUCAAACAGGAUUAGAUACCCUGGUAGUCCACACGGUAAACGAUGAAUACUCGCUGUAGGCGAUAUACAGUCUGCGGCCAAGCGAAAGCAUUAAGUAUUCCACCUGGGGAGUACGCCGGCAACGGUGAAACUCAAAGGAAUUGACGGGGGCCCGCACAAGCGGAGGAACAUGUGGUUUAAUUCGAUGAUACGCGAGGAACCCUACCCGGGCUUAAAUUGCAACCGAAUAUGGCGGAAACGCUAUAGCUAGCAAUAGCGGUUGUGAAGGUGCUGCAUGGUUGUCGUCAGCUCGUGCCGUGAGGUGUCGGCUUAAGUGCCAUAACGAGCGCAACCCUUGCCGAUAGUUACUAACAGGUUAUGCUGAGGACUCUGUCGGGACUGCCAUCGUAAGAUGUGAGGAAGGUGGGGAUGACGUCAAAUCAGCACGGCCCUUACGUCCGGGGCUACACACGUGUUACAAUGGGGGGUACAGAGGGCUGCUACCACGCAAGUGGAUGCCAAUCCCAAAAACCUCUCUCAGUUCGGAUUGAAGUCUGCAACCCGACUUCAUGAAGCUGGAUUCGCUAGUAAUCGCGCAUCAGCCACGGCGCGGUGAAUACGUUCCCGGGCCUUGUACACACCGCCCGUCAAGCCAUGGGAGCCGGGGGUACCUGAAGUGCGUAACCGCAAGGAGCGCCCUAGGGUA
rnacentral:rRNA from 1 species